AGGACGAACGCUGGCGGUGUGCUUCACACAUGCAAGUCGAACGGGGUAGCAAUACCCAGUGGCGGACGGGUGAGUAACGCGUAGAAAUCUGCCUUGAGAUGGGGGAUAACAGUCCGAAAGGAUUGCUAAUACCGCAUAUGUAUAUAUCCGGACACGGGUGUAUAUGAAAGGAGUAAUCCGUCUUAAGAUGAGUCUGCGUCCGAUUAGCUAGUUGGUAGGGUAAAGGCCUACCAAGGCGACGAUCGGUAGCUGGUCUGAGAGGAUGAUCAGCCACAAUGGGACUGAGACACGGCCCAUACUCCUACGGGAGGCAGCAGUGGGGAAUUUUGUGCAAUGGGGGAAACCCUGACACAGCGACACCGCGUGAGCGAAGAAGCCCUUGGGGUGUAAAGCUCUGUCGGCUGGAACGAAAAAAAUGACGGUACCAGCAAAGGAAGCAUCGGCUAACUACGUGCCAGCAGCCGCGGUAA
rnacentral:rRNA from 1 species